AAAACAAAACCAAACAAACCUAGAUUGGACAUGAAUAUUGAAGAACUCCUUCAGCAAGCGCAUGGUUCUUGUGGGCCCAGGAUGGCCGCCGACAUAGAUGGAUUUUCAGACCCCUCAGAGGAGUCGAUGCUAAGUAGUGGAGCCAUGGACCUAUCUUCUCUCCCUUGGCCUCAGACUCCAUGCUUGUGACAACUUCCAAUCUAAAGGAGCUGCUUGCUGACUACCAGAAACUCUGUAGGCACAUGUGGCAUCAUUCUGCACUGACCUUACAGGCCUUGAGGUCCACGUGGGGAUAGUAGAGACGGCAUCAGAAGAUCAC